rnacentral:rRNA from 1 species
CCUACGGGAGGCUGCAGUGAGGAAUAUUGGUCAAUGGGCGAGAGCCUGAACCAGCCAAGUCGCGUGAGGGAGUACUGCCCUAUGGGUUGUAAACCUCUUUUGUCGGGGAGCAAAAGCCGGACGUGUCCGGCUGUGAGAGUACCCGAAGAAAAAGCAUCGGCUAACUCCGUGCCAGCAGCGGCGGUAAUACGGAGGAUGCGAGCGUGAUCCGGAUUUAUUGGGUUUAAAGGGUGCGCAGGCGGGUUUUUAAGUCAGCGGUCAAAUCGUGGGGCUCAACCCCAUCCAGCCGUUGAAACUGGGGAUCUUGAGUGUGCGAGAGGUAUGCGGAAUGCGUGGUGUAGCGGUGAAAUGCAUAGAUAUCACGCAGAACCCCGAUUGCGAAGGCAGCAUACCGGUGCACAACUGACGCUCAGGCACGAAAGCGUGGGUAUCGAACAGGAUUAGAUACCCCAGUAGUC